rnacentral:rRNA from 1 species
UCCAGACUCCUACGGGAGGCAGCAGUGGGGAAUAUUGGGCAAUGGGCGCAAGCCUGACCCAGCAACGCCGCGUGAAGGAAGAAGGCUUUCGGGUUGUAAACUUCUUUUCUCAGGGGCGAAGAAAGUGCCGGUACCUGAGGAAUAAGCCACGGCUAACUACGUGCCAGCAGCCGCGGUAAUACGUAGGUGGCAAGCGUUAUCCGGAUUUACUGGGUGUAAAGGGCGUGUAGGCGGGACUGCAAGUCAGAUGUGAGAACCACGGGCUCAACCUGUGGCCUGCAUUUGAAACUGUAGUUCUUGAGUACUGGAGAGGCAGACGGAAUUCCUAGUGUAGCGGUGAAAUGCGUAGAUAUUAGGAGGAACAUCGGUGGCGAAGGCGGCUUACUGGGCUUUUACUGACGCUGAGGCUCGAAAGCGUGGGGAGCAAACAGGAUUAGAUACCCCCGUAAAC